rnacentral:rRNA from 1 species
GGUUACCUACGGGAGGCAGCAGUGGGGAAUAUUGCGCAAUGGGCGAAAGCCUGACGCAGCGACGCCGCGUGAGGGAUGAAGGUCUUCGGAUCGUAAACCUCUGUCAGCAGGGAAGAACGGUCACUGUGCUAAUCAGCAGUGAAUUGACGGUACCUGCAACGGAAGCACCGGCUAACUCCGUGCCAGAAGCCGCGGUAAUACGGAGGGUGCGAGCGUUAAUCGGAAUUACUGGGCGUAAAGCGCUCGUAGGCGGCAUGUCAAGUCAAGUGUGAAAUC